CAGAGGGUGCAAGCGUUAAUCGGAAUUACUGGGCGUAAAGCGCGCGUAGGUGGUUUGUUAAGUUGGAUGUGAAAGCCCCGGGCUCAACCUGGGAACUGCAUUCAAAAACUGACAAGCUAGAGUAUGGUAGAGGGUGGUGGAAUUUCCUGUGUAGCGGUGAAAUGCGUAGAUAUAGGAAGGAACACCAGUGGCGAAGGCGACCACCUGGACUGAUACUGACACUGAGGUGCGAAAGCGUGGGGGAGCAAACAGGAUUAGAUACCCUGGUAGUCCACGCCGUAAACGAUGUCAACUAGCCGUUGGGAGCCUUGAGCUCUUAGUGGCGCAGCUAACGCAUUAAGUUGACCGCCUGGGGAGUACGGCCGCAAGGUUA
rnacentral:rRNA from 1 species